rnacentral:rRNA from 1 species
UCGGGAAUUUUGGGCAAUGGGCGAAAGCCUGACCCAGCAACGCCGCGUGAAGGAUGAAGUAUUUCGGUAUGUAAACUUCGAAAGAAUAGGAAGAAUAAAUGACGGUACUAUUUGUAAGGUCCGGCUAACUACGUGCCAGCAGCCGCGGUAAUACGUAGGGACCAAGCGUUGUUCGGAUUUACUGGGCGUAAAGGGCGCGUAGGCGGUUUGUCAAGUCAGUUGUGAAAUCUCCGAGCUUAACUCGGAACGGUCAACUGAUACUGUCAAACUAGAGUACAGAAGGGGCAAUCGGAAUUCUAGGUGUAGCGGUGAAAUGCGUAGAUAUCAAGAGGAACACCUGAGGCGAAGGCGGGUUGCUGGGCUGAUACUGACGCUGAAGCGCGAAAGCUAGGGUAGCAAACGGGAUUAGAUACCCGCGUAGUCCCUGAGCGGGCUGGCAAGGCGCAU